CCCAAAUGGAAUCCCCUUCACUCUCACGCUACUGUCCUUCCACUCCUCUCUCACGCUAUACAUCUUCAAAAUCCUCUCCUCUCUUAUGCUGCAAAUCUUCAAUAUCAAUCAAGGGUACGAUUGGAGAGUUAUUAAUGUUGCUCUGUAUCUUACUCAAUUUGAUUUCUACUGUUUUGUUUGCUGUUUUCAAGGUAAAUUUUGACACCCAACUUUGAUUUACAAGUGGGUUUUGUUUAUUUGUGUUGAAUGCUGUAAAGUUAUGUCUUUUUUGAUAAUUUUUAUGGGGUUUCAAUUAAAGGCACUAUUGUGGAUUAUGAGUUGGUUUGUUUUGGUUUAUGUGAUUUUGUUUGUGAAUUUUAGGUUUCUUGCAGUGAUUAUGUAGUUGGGUUUGGAGGGUGUGAGAUUUUAGCACUUGGGUCUGCAUUGGGAAAGUGAUUUGUGGAGUUUAGUAAGUGAAAUCUGAGACUUCGGUUUUUGUUUGUGGUGGAUUUUAGCAUUGAUCAGUGAUAUAAUUUUGGGUUGGAUAAUAGGAUUGGGGAGAUGAGAAGGGUUUGAGGGAUUGGAAGGAGAUCUAUGACUUGAGGGUCACUAGGUCUCUUUACAGGAAGUUAUGGAUCAUCGCAAUAACAUUUUCAGAACGGGUUUCGAACAAUUCAUACAGCACCGCCAGUUGUUGUCUGGAAGGCUCCUAAGAUAUAUAAAGAGAAAGAGAGAAUGGUUACAUGGUUAUUUAAAUUUGACCCUCGAAAAAAAGUCUGAAUGCUGCUCUUGUUUGCUAUUUUUGUGUUAGUGUUUGGAUGGGUGUUGUUUGUGGGAAAAGGUUCAAUUUUUAGUCAUUGUACUUGUUUGUAUCAUUUACCAAACGCUUUCUAAGGAAUUUAAAGUUACCAAUGUAAAUAUAAUCAAGCUUUAUAUAUUAGAAUAUAGAUUUAAAUAUGUUACAUAUCUUAUCAUGUCGUAUGCUUUUUAGUUAUCUUCUGUUAAUAACAUUUUGUUUUGGGUGUUAAUAUAUAAUUACUAGUCGGUAGUCCUUCCAAGCAUUACUAAAUGCAUGUUCCUCAUCGUCAAUCUGCAUCUAGAAUAAGUUUUACAUAACUAGUAUGAAUUUAAUAUCCUAGUUUCUUAUUUGGGUUGAACAUGUUAGUUAAUUCUGCUUAGUGGGUUUAAUUUCUUUCCAGGCGAAGAUAUCCCAGAAGGUGUUCAUAUACCGAGUUCAUCCACAACCUGAGCAUUUUACUGGGUACCACCAGCUGAAAAGAAAAGGACUGGACCAUGACCAUGUCAAGUAUGUUAUCUUCCUACUGAAGAUGUUAUUUUCCGAAUGCCGACGACCCAAUCUUUUUCUCCUGUAAUUCAAAAGAUAUCUUAUAUAUAUACAUGAAGACUUUUUAAGAAGAAUUGAGUUUGGAGGUUCGAAAUUUGAUGGAUAUCUGUCGCUGGAGCAGAGAAAUGAUUCCUAUAAUGUAAGAGAAUUAAUGAGUGUACAUUGCGGAUAUAUUAGAGAAACUCAACCUGGACAUCAAGCAGGAUUUGAUAUUGAUGAUUCUGACCUCCAUGAGAUGGAGAAGUGUGAAGGAGUGGCGGUUAUAUCAUCUAUAUUUGGAUAUACAAAAGUCGGGUGAAGAAAGAUCAUUAUCUCCGAUAUGAUAAUGAUGAGAAGGGCUUAAAAACAAUCCUUUUAGAUUGAUUUUUGUAAGGAUGGCUUAUAAGUUGGUACCUUAGUCUUGUUUCUAUGUAUCUUUCAACUUGAUGACUCUGUUUGUACUUUGAAUUCUAUU